AUUGAACGCUGGCGGCAUGCCUUACACAUGCAAGUCGAACGGUAACAGGUUAAGCUGACGAGUGGCGAACGGGUGAGUAAUAUAUCGGAACGUGCCCAAUCGUGGGGGAUAACGCAGCGAAAGUUGUGCUAAUACCGCAUAAGAUCUACGGAUGAAAGCGGGGGAUCGCAAGACCUCGCGCGAGUGGAGCGGCCGAUAUCAGAUUAGCUAGUUGGUGGGGUAAAGGCCCACCAAGGCGACGAUCUGUAGCUGGUCUGAGAGGACGACCAGCCACACUGGGACUGAGACACGGCCCAGACUCCUACGGGAGGCAGCAGUGGGGAAUUUUGGACAAUGGGCGAAAGCCUGAUCCAGCAAUGCCGCGUGGGUGAAGAAGGCCUUCGGGUUGUAAAGCCCUUUCGGAUAGAAAGAAAACUCUUACUCUAACAUAGUGAGAGAAUGACGGUACUAUCAUAAGAAGCACCGGCUAACUACGUGCCAGCAGCCGCGGUAACAC
rnacentral:rRNA from 1 species